CGCCCUCCGUGGAGGGGGUGACACCACGAUCCCGUAGGUGGUUUUCCCAGGGUGAGGCUCAGCCCUUGCACUGCGGCCGCGCUGACCCCUGCGAUUUCCCCAGGUGCGGGAAACUCGACUGCGUCAUCUGUGGUAGUGGGGGACUGCGUUCGCGCUUCUAAUU